GAUAAUGUUGCUUUAGCAACGGCCCGAAGGGCGAGGCGAAGCCGAGUCAUCCUGCACGACCCACCA
rnacentral:sRNA from 1 species